UGUACGUAUGUAUAAUUGUGUAGUUAGCUGCAUAUAUUGUACUCUAGUUAGCUGCAUACUCUGUAGUUAGCUAAAUAUAGUCAUAAAUAAAAAACAUGAUACAGGUGCAGCUAGAUAUAGUACUCUUUAUGUAUAAUUUGUGAUUGAUGUAUAAAAUAUUAAUGGUUGAUGAUUUAUAAAUUAGAGAUUAAUGCCUAAUAUAAUUGUGUUUGCAGAUGUAUGCUAAUAUAAAAUAUUAAUAUAAUUGUGUUUGCAGAUGCC
rnacentral:lncRNA from 1 species